AUUGAACGCUGGCGGCAGGCCUAACACAUGCAAGUCGAACGAGUGGCGGACGGGUGAGUAAUGACUGGGAAACUGCCUGAUGGAGGGGGAUAACUACUGGAAACGGUAGCUAAUACCGCAUACCAUCAGAUGUGCCCAGAUGGGAUUAGCUUGUGGGUGGGGUAACGGCUCACCAAGGCGACGAUCCCUAGCUGGUCUGAGAGGAUGACCAGCCACACUGGAACUGGGACACGGUCCAUACUCCUACGGUAGGCAGCAGUGGGGAAUAUGGGACCAGGGGCGGAAGCCUGAUGCAGCCAUGCCGCGUGUAUGAAGAAGGCCUUCGGGUUGUAAAGUACUUUCAGCGGGGAGGCGUUACCCGCAGAAGAAGCACCGGCUAACUCCGUGCCAGCCGCCGCGGUAAUAC
rnacentral:rRNA from 1 species